CAGUAGCCGCGGGAAUACGAAGGGGGCUAGCGUUGUUCGGAAUUACUGGGCGUAAAGCGCACGUAGGCGGAUAUUUAAGUCAGGGGUGAAAUCCCGCAGCUCAACUGCGGAACUGCCUUUGAUACUGGGUAUCUUGAGUAUGGAAGAGGUAAGUGGAAUUGCGAGUGUAGAGGUGAAAUUCGUAGAUAUUCGCAGGAACACCAGUGGCGAAGGCGGCUUACUGGCUCAUUCUAGACGCUGAGGUGCGAAAGCGUGGGGAGCAAACAGGAUUAGAUACCCCCGUAGUCCCUGUCUCUUAUAC
rnacentral:rRNA from 1 species